rnacentral:rRNA from 1 species
AUGGUGCCAGGAAUGGCGCCCAAGCCGGCGGCGCCGAUGCCCGCGCAGCCGAAGAAGCCUCAGCACAUGCUCGUGCUCGGCACCGGCUUCGUCGGCCGCUACGUCUCGGAGCGCCUCCUGUCACAGGGAUGGCGGGUGUCCGGGACGUGCACCAGUGCCGCCAAGAAGACGGAGCUCGAGUUGCUGGGCAUGACUGCUUCCGUCUUCGAUGCCACAACAAGCAACCUCACAGAUCUUCAUGCUUUGCAAGAUGCAACCCAUUUGCUCAUCUCCAUUCCUCCCAUCCCUGGGGUGGGUGAUCCUUUGCUUUCCUCACAUGCUGACCUGCAAACAACACUGACUAGUGGUAAUCUUCAAUGGUUAUGCUACCUAUCUUCAACAAGUGUGUAUGGUGAUUGUGGUGGUGCAUGGGUUGAUGAGGAUCAUGUAGUGAAUCCAAAGAGCGAGUCUUCCAAGUUAAGAUAUACCGCUGAACAAGGAUGGUUGGAUCUUGUCGACGAGCUGGAUCUAUCGGCUUAUAUACUUCGUUUGGGUGGGAUAUAUGGGCCUGGAAGAAGUGCUUUGGACACCAUAGCUAAGAGAAAAUCUUCUUCCCGAAGACAGAAGUUGAGGGAGUCCAAACAGUACACGGCACGUAUCCAUGUGGCCGACAUCUAUCAGGCUAUCCUGGCUAGCAUGAGCAUCAAAUCUACAAGGAAGAUAUACAAUGUGGUGGAUGAUGACCCUGCCCCGAGAUCCGAGGUCUUUGCAUUUGCUCAGAGCUUGAUAGAGAAAAGAUACCCUGAUCUUGCAGCGGAUUCUGCAGGAUCAAACAGCCAGAACAGAAUUAUAGCUGCUGAAAAACGGGUAUCUAAUGGUCGGUUGAAACUGGAGCUUGGCGUUAGGCUUGCCCACCCAUCUUAUAGGUCAGGGCUGCAGAGUAUUCUUGAUUCCUGGCUCGAGGGAAAUCAGUGA